UUUGGACCCACCUGAUUCCAUCCCGAACUCAGAAGUGAAACGAAACAGCGUCGAUGGUAGUGUGGGGUUUCCCCAUGUGAGAGUAGAACAUCGCCAGGC
rnacentral:rRNA from 4 species